rfam:Brachypodium distachyon strain Bd21 chromosome 2, whole genome shotgun sequence.
GAUGUACUUCCUCCGUUCCAUAUUAAAUGACUUUUUAUUACAUGUAUCUAGAUGCUUAUUAGGCAUAGAUACAUCCAUAUUUGAACAAAUUUGAGUCACUUAAUAUGGGACGGAGGGAGUAUAUA